UUUUUUUUUUUAGUAGUUUUCUAUAAGUACUUAUUGUUUGUGAUGAAUAAUCAUGGUUCGACAAUGUAUUCUUAAUUACUGUCAAAGUUCAACAAGAACUACGCAAGACCGUAAAUACCUUAUACCAUCGCGUAGGUAUAAUCGCAAAAAUUUAUAAAAUUUUAAGCAAACAAAUCUCAGUUCGAGUAAAACUAUGACCAUGUACCACAUUGAGAAAUAAAAAUAUGUUAAAAUAAAUCUAUUUUUUAAUUGUUUUAUA
rnacentral:lncRNA from 1 species